CACAAGCAUGAGCUUAAGCUCACCUUCAGGAUUUAUUAUUUAACAGUAGUUCAAAUGUAAGUGAAUAAAAGGGACUAGAGGGACAGACUCUGCUAAAAAUACACUCCGGUUCCCUUCACUCUCAACGGUGCUCAAUAAUUAAUUCUGCACUGAAUGAGAGUCACAGAGUUCUGCUUAAAGUGCAUGUUUUGCUCUUAUAAGAGCUUAAAACACGGCCAAACACAGUCAAAUCUGGACAUGCAUUUGCGGAUUAUAUUAACAUGAACAUCCAUGACAGCCCAGCGUUCUAGCAGGAUUAGUGAUUACAAAAUACACCUUAAACAGAAUCGUGUUGUUUUUCAAUAAAAAAAAAAGUCUACUGACAUCUUUAUUAACAAAUGACCACAAAAGCAAUUCCUUAAUCUGGUUCUGCUAAUGCAAAAAGUAAUAUCAUCAUUUAAAUUCUGUGUUU